GAUGAACGCUGGCGGCGUGCCUAAUACAUGCAAGUCGAGCGAACUGACGAGCAGCUCGCGCUUUUGAGGUUAGCGGCGGACGGGUGGGUAACACAUGGAUAACUUACUUCUAUUUCUGGGAUAACUUCGUUAAACCAGAGCCGCUACCAGAUCAUAUGACGAACCGCUUGGAUCAGUAGUGAUAUACUGUUUUGCUGAUAGUAAUAGCUGUUUCCGCGCCGCAUUAGCUAGUUGGUAAGGUAACGGCUUACCAAGGCAACGAUGCGUAGCCGACCUGAGAGGCUGAUCGGCCACACUGGAACUGAGACACGGUCCAGACUCCUACGGGAGGCAGCAGUGGGGAAUCUUCGACAAUGGGAGAAAGCCUGAACGAGCAAGGCCGCGUGGGUGAAGAAGGCCUUCGGAUCGUAAAACCCUGUUAUUGGGGAAGAACAGAAGUAUAAGUAUCUACCCACAUCUUGACGGUACCUAAAGAAGAAGCCACGGCUAACUACGUG
rnacentral:rRNA from 1 species